UUCAAAUGAAAUGAACAAUUUACAAGCAAAGGAAAUGGCAUCAAAUAUUUGAUACCCUGCCUCCCAAGGUGUAUUGAUUCAUGCUUUAUUAAAUUUUAUAUGAAGUUCCUAGAUGAUUUAAAGCUGUAAGAAGAAUAAUAAUGAAUCAUAAGAAAACUUGCUGCUACAGAUAUCAAAAAGGAAUGUUACCAUCCCUCAUGCUAAUCCUUUUCAUUUUAAAUAAACAGGAUCUAAAAAAAAUAAUUUUUUCCCCCUUCCUGGACUUUUUAAUGAUCAUCAUUCUGACUGACAUGCGAUGGUAUCUCAUUGUGGUUUUGAUUUGCAUUUCUCUGAUGACCAGCGAUGAUGAGCAUUUUUUAUGUGUCUG
rnacentral:lncRNA from 1 species